GCCCCUAUAGCUUAGUAGUUAAGGCCUUAAGACCUUCCUUAAGAGGUUAUUAGUUCGAAUCUAGCUAGGGGCG